AGGUCAAGCUACUAAGGGCACAUGACGGAUGCCUGGGCACAGCAGAGCGAAGAAGGACGUGGCAAGCUGCGAAAAGCCGCGGGGAGGUGCAAGCGACCGUAGAUCCGCGGAUAUCCGAAUGGGGCAACCCGGCGCUGGUAAUGCGGCGUCACCCCGACACUUGUGUUGGGGGGUAAACCCGGGGAAGUGAAACAUCUAAGUACCCGGAGGAACAGAAAGAGGAAUCGAUUCCCCCAGUAGCGGCGAGCGAAGCGGGAAGAGCCUAAACCUGAUUGCAUGAAUAAGGCUGCAACCGUUGUGCAACAGGGGUAGCGGGUAGCUAACGAGGCGAGUUGCAGGUCGCCUGGGGAGUGAUAAAGUCGGUUGAUAGUCGAACUGUCUUGGAAAAGCAGGCCAUAGCGGGUGAAAGCCCCGUAGGCGAAAUGAACCGGCCUCCCUGGUUAGCACACCCAAGUACUGCGGGGCACGAGAAACCCUGUGGGAAUCCAUGCCGACCACGGCAUAAGGCUAAAUAUGCUGUUGUGACCGAUAGUGAACCAGUACCGUGAGGGAAAGGUGAAAAGCACCCCGGAAGGGGAGUGAAAUAGUACCUGAAAUCAUGUGCCUACAACCAGUCGGAGUCAGGUUAAGUCUUUCAGAGACGAAGCCGUAGCGAAAGCGAGUCUGAACAGGGCGAAGAAGUUGCCUGCUGCAGACGCGAAGCCGGGUGAUCUACCCAUGGCCAGGGUGAAGGUUCGGUAACACGAACUGGAGGCCCGAACCCACUGGUGUUGAAAAACCAGGGGAUGAGCUGUGGGUGGGGGUGAAAGGCCAAUCAAACCCGGAGAUAGCUCGUUCUCCCCGAAAUAGCUUUAGGGCUAGCCUCGAGUAAAAAUGUAACGGAGGUAGAGCACUAAUAGGGCUAGGGCCCGCAAGGGUACCACCCCCUGAUAAACUCCGAAUGCCGUCUACAUGUUACUCGGGAGUCAGGCUGUGUGGGAUAAGCUUCAUAGCCGAGAGGGAAAGAACCCAGACCGCCAGCUAAGGUCUCUAAGUACAGGCUAAGUGAGAAAGGAAGUGGAAUGGCCCAGACAACCAGGAGGUUGGCUUAGAAGCAGCCAUCCUUUAAAGAGUGCGUAAUAGCUCACUGGUCGAGCCAUUCUGCGCCGAAAAUGGUCGGGACUAAGCCUGUCGCCGAAGCUGCGGCUCCGACACGCAAUGUGUCGGGGGGUAGGGGAGCAUUCUGCUGACCAGCGAAGGUAAGCUGUGAGGCUUGCUGGAGGAGGCAGAAGAGCGGAUGCUGGCAUAAGUAGCGAUAAAUAGAGUGAGAAUCUCUAUCACCGAAAGUCUAAGGUUUCCUGAGUAAAGUUCGUCUGCUCAGGGUUAGUCGGGACCUAAGGCGAGGCCGAGAGGCGUAGUCGAUGGAAAACGGGUUAAAUAAUCCCGUACCACCAUUGCGGGUGUUUGAGCCUGAGGGGUGACGCAGGAGUGAAGGCCAUCCAACUGUUGGAAUAGUUGGUUUAAGCAGGUAGGCGGGGCUGGCAGGCAAAUCCGCCGGCCCACUCAACGCUGAGAUGCGAAUAGGAGCCCCCCAGGGGCACAAACUGGCCAUAAUCAAACUGCCAGGAAAAACCUCGCAGGCAAAUCCGCAAGGUGCCCGUACCGCAAACCGACACAGGUAGACGGGGAGAGAAUCCUCAGGUGCGCGAGUGAGCUCUCGUUAAGGAACUCGGCAAAUUAGCCCCGUAACUUCGGGAGAAGGGGUGCCCUUAUUAGGUGAAGAUCGUUAGCGAUUGGAGCCGAACAGGGUUGCAGCGAAGCGGCCCAAGCGACUGUUUACUAAAAACACAGGACUCUGCGAACUCGUAAGAGGAAGUAUAGGGUCUGACACCUGCCCGGUGCCGGAAGGUUAAGGGGAUCUGUUCGGCGCAAGCCAAAGCAGUGAACCGAAGCCCCGGUAAACGGCGGCCGUAACUAUAACGGUCCUAAGGUAGCGAAAUUCCUUGUCGGGUAAGUUCCGACCUGCACGAAUGGUGUAACGACUUGGGCACUGUCUCAACGAGAGGCUCGGCGAAAUUGAGAUGUCGGUGAAGACGCCGACUACCCGCCACGGGACGGAAAGACCCCGUGAACCUUUACUAUACCCUGAUAUUGUGUUUUAGCUAACCAUGUGUAGGAUAGGUGGGAGGCAAUGAAGCUGUCACGCCAGUGGCGGCAGAGCCAACCUUGAAAUACCACCCUUGUUUAGUUGAGACCCUAACCUGUGGCAGUGAAUCCUGCCAGGGGACAGUGUCAGGUGGGUAGUUUGACUGGGGCGGUCGCCUCCUAAAGAGUAACGGAGGCUCCCAAAGGUUCCCUCAGCACGGUCGGUAAUCGUGCGUAGAGCGUAAAGGCAGAAGGGAGCUUGACUGCGAGACCGACAAGUCGAGCAGGUGCGAAAGCAGGGCUUAGUGAUCCGGCGGUUCCGAGUGGAAGGGCCGUCGCUCAAAGGAUAAAAGGUACUCCGGGGAUAACAGGCUGAUCUGAGCCAAGAGUUCACAUCGACGCUCAGGUUUGGCACCUCGAUGUCGGCUCAUCGCAUCCUGGGGCUGGAGAAGGUCCCAAGGGUUUGGCUGUUCGCCAAUUAAAGCGGUACGUGAGCUGGGUUUA
rnacentral:rRNA from 1 species